GAUGAACGCUAGCUACAGGCUUAACACAUGCAAGUCGAGGGGAAACGAUAGAGAAAGCUUGCUUUUUCUAGGCGUCGACCGGCGCACGGGUGAGUAACGCGUAUCCAACCUGCCCACCACUUGGGGAUAACCUUGCGAAAGUAAGACUAAUACCCAAUGAUAUCUCUAGAAGACAUCUGAAAGGGAUUAAAGAUUUAUCGGUGAUGGAUGGGGAUGCGUCUGAUUAGCUUGUUGGCGGGGUAACGGCCCACCAAGGCUACGAUCAGUAGGGGUUCUGAGAGGAAGGUCCCCCACAUUGGAACUGAGACACGGUCCAAACGCCUACGGGAGGCAGCAGUGAGGAAUAUUGGUAAAUGGACGAGAGUCUGAACCAGCCAAGUAGCGUGCAGGAUGACGGCCCUAUGGGUUGUAAACUGCUUUUAUAAGGGAAUAAAGUGAGUCUCGUGAGACUUUUUGCAUGUACCUUAUGAAUAAGGACCGGCUAAUUCCGUGCCAGCCGCCGCCGUAA
rnacentral:rRNA from 1 species